UACGGAGGGUGCGAGCGUUAAUCGGAAUCACUGGGCGUAAAGGGCGCGUAGGCGGCCAGGUCAGUCAGAUGUGAAAGCCCCGGGCUCAACCUGGGAAUGGCAUUUGAUACUGCCUGGCUCGAGUAUGGUAGAGGGGGGUGGAAUUCCAGGUGUAGCGGUGAAAUGCGUAGAUAUCUGGAGGAACACCGGUGGCGAAGGCGACCCCCUGGACCGAUACUGACGCUGAGGUGCGAAAGCGUGGGGAGCAAACAGG
rnacentral:rRNA from 1 species